AAAUUGAAGAGUUUGAUCAUGGCUCAGAUUGAACGCUGGCGGCAGGCCUAACACAUGCAAGUCGAACGGUAACAGGAAACAGCUUGCUGUUUCGCUGACGAGUGGCGGACGGGUGAGUAAUGUCUGGGAAACUGCCUGAUGGAGGGGGAUAACUACUGGAAACGGUAGCUAAUACCGCAUAACGUCGCAAGACCAAAGAGGGGGACCUUCGGGCCUCUUGCCAUCGGAUGUGCCCAGAUGGGAUUAGCUUGUUGGUGGGGUAACGGCUCACCAAGGCGACGAUCCCUAGCUGGUCUGAGAGGAUGACCAGCCACACUGGAACUGAGACACGGUCCAGACUCCUACGGGAGGCAGCAGUGGGGAAUAUUGCACAAUGGGCGCAAGCCUGAUGCAGCCAUGCCGCGUGUAUGAAGAAGGCCUUCGGGUUGUAAAGUACUUUCAGCGGGGAGGAAGGGAGUAAAGUUAAUACCUUUGCUCAUUGACGUUACCCGCAGAAGAAGCACCGG
rnacentral:rRNA from 1 species